rnacentral:lncRNA from 1 species
AUGAAUUAGCCGGAUUGAAACUUGUCAUAACGCAAAGCAAGUUACUUCCCACAAUAUCAAAACAAUUAUGAAGCUUGAAGUUCCAAAUUAGUUACAACACAAAAGAGCUCAAUAGGUAAGUGAUUUGAAUAUGUUACACUAAAGGUCUACACUUCGACUUAUUGAAUUCGUCUAUCUUGGACACUAAAUAUAUGCUUAUCACAAAAUGAAGAGACUUCAUUCAUCAGAAUUCUCACCAUUCUCUCAUUGAUUGUAACCUUUCCUUAAUAAGGUCAAAAUACCAUGCUAUUUGACAAUAUCUUGCUCUUUCCUCUGUAAAGAUACACUCAGCUCAUUCGACAUCACCAACACUUUCAACAACAACAACAACAACAACAACAACAACCUAGUAUCAUCCCACUUAGUGGGGUCUGGGGAGGGUAGUGUGUACGGAAACC